rnacentral:rRNA from 1 species
GGCCAGACUCCUACGGGAGGCAGCAGUGGGGGAUAUUGCACAAUGGGGGGAACCCUGAUGCAGCGACGCCGCGUGGGUGAAGAAGUAUUUCGGUAUGUAAAGCCCUAUCGGCAGGGAAGAAAUUGGACGGUACCUGACUAAGAAGCCCCGGCUAACUACGUGCCAGCAGCCGCGGUAAUACGUAGGGGGCAAGCGUUAUCCGGAUUCACUGGGUGUAAAGGGAGCGUAGACGGCCAUGCAAGCCUGGAGUGAAAGCCCGGGGCCCAACCCCGGGACUGCAUUUGGAACUGUGUGGCUGGAGUGUCGGAGAGGCAGGCGGAAUUCCUAGUGUAGCGGUGAAAUGCGUAGAUAUUAGGAGGAACACCAGUGGCGAAGGCGGCCUGCUGGACGAUGACUGACGUUGAGGCUCGAAAGCGUGGGGAGCAAACAGGAUUAGAUACCCGCGUA